rnacentral:tRNA from 7 species
GGAGGAUUACCCAAGUGGCUGAAGGGAACGGUCUUGAAAACCGUCAGAUGUGUAAAAGCAUGCGAGGGUUCGAAUCCCUCAUCCUCCU